UCCGAAGAUGUAUGUAUUCUUGUGAGAUGU
rnacentral:piRNA from 1 species